UGGGGAAUAUUGCACAAUGGGGGAAACCCUGAUGCAGCGACGCCGCGUGAAGGAAGAAGUCUCUCGGUAUGUAAACUUCUAUCAGCAGGGAAGAUAAUGACGGUACCUGACUAAGAAGCCCCGGCUAACUACGUGCCAUCAGCCGCGGUAAUACGUAGGGGGCAAGCGUUAUCCGGAUUUACUGGGUGUAAAGGGAGCGUAGACGGUGAAGCAAGUCUGAUGUGAAAGGCAGGGGCUCAACCCCUGGACUGCAUUGGAAACUGUUUUACUUGAGUGCCGGAGGGGUAAGCGGAAUUCCUAGUGUAGCGGUGAAAUGCGUAGAUAUUAGGAGGAACACCAGUGGCGAAGGCGGCUUACUGGACGGUAACUGACGUUGAGGCUCGAAAGCGUGGGGAGCAAACAGGAUUAGAUACCCUGGUA
rnacentral:rRNA from 1 species